GCGAGCGUUAAUCGGAAUUACUGGGCGUAAAGCGAGCGCAGACGGUUACUUAAGCAGGAUGUGAAAUCCCCGGGCUCAACCUGGGAACUGCGUUCUGAACUGGGUGACUAGAGUGUGUCAGAGGGAGGUAGAAUUCCACGUGUAGCAGUGAAAUGCGUAGAGAUGUGGAGGAAUACCGAUGGCGAAGGCAGCCUCCUGGGAUAACACUGACGUUCAUGCUCGAAAGCGUGGGUAGCAAACAGGAUUAGAUACCCUGGUAGUCAAGGGCG
rnacentral:rRNA from 1 species